rnacentral:lncRNA from 1 species
GCAGAAAGCUGGAGUCUGCUGCGGGACUGACACAUUCCCAGGAUCACUGGGCUGCUCUGAGAGAGGAGCGGCACGGAGGCUACCUGGGAAGCAACGGUGCUCUCUCAGCAGUGAGAGGUGGUGACAGGAAGAUGGAGGAGAGAAUGGACUGGAGAUUUUGAGGAGGGAAAAAUAACAGAACUGAAGGUUCAGCCGAAGGUGACAGAUAAGGGGAAGGGGGAAGAGGAGGAGGUGGUGGCAGUGGUGGUGGCGGCAGCAUAGAUGACAGCCAGGCUGGCUUCUCUUGGUGCAGCUGGAGAUGGAGGUUGUGGAGAGGGGAACUCUAGAGAGGGGUCUUAAGAGGGAAGCUCAUGGCCCUGUUCCAUUCCCUUGUUGGACAGAUGAAGAGACUGAAGUCUCAAAGGCAGAGUUUGAAGCAAAAGCCAGAUGGCACAACCCUCGGUCCAUAGCUACAGCCAUGCUUUUCUCUGGGGUUUCCUACCCUGUUUAGGGGUGCUCGUAGCAUUUAGGCUUGCAACCAAGGAAGCUAAAUGUCC